UUCACUUCCUGCUGCCUGCCAAUCCAGAUAGAGAAUUCUCAGCUCCUUCUCCAGCACCAUGUCUGCCUGCCUGCCACCAUGUUUUUCCAUGAUGAUAAUGGACUAAACCUUUGAACUAUGGAAUAAUAAUGCAGCCCAAGGCUUUCCAAAAGACAGAAAAGUCACUCUUCACACAGAAUCCCAUUUCUAUAGAAGACUAAGUUACAAGCUCCUCAAAGCGUCUGUGCCAAAUAAAUGAUUUCUGGAAA